UCGUUAUAAAGGCUGGUUAUUGACGUCACACAGGGGAGGAGUGAGGCUGAGAAGCUUCCCUGUGCGCAAGCGCAUUGAGCAAAUAAGCGGUGAUGGGAAAUACCCAGCCCUGCAUGGGGACGGGGUCGGGGAUGGGCGCUCCUGGGGCUCAGCAGGAAGUUUCAGUGAACUGUGGUUUUCAUUGUCAUGUCCUGCCCUGUUAUGUCAGACCUGCGGAAAAGCUCCUGUUUCAGGAACUAUUUCCUGUUUUGGGACCUUUCAUAGGAAAAUAAGAAAAUGCAGCCUCUCCUUCUGUGGCCAAGUCCAAGGCUGCCAAUGGAACCAGCUGCAAGAGAAAAAGAAUACCAGGAGAGGCAAGCACGUGGGUACCUACUGAGGCAGAGACAGGAAGUACCAAAGCCAUGAGGAACUGAGAACAUUCCUGGAGCAGUCAAGAGAAGAAGGGGGCCAGUACGGCAGAAAGAGCAGAAGAGCAUGAAGAAGAGAGAACCAUGAGGAGCAGAA